rnacentral:lncRNA from 1 species
AGAUUCAGUUUAACAUUCAGUGGCUCACUGUUAUGAUCAUAUGGUGCAACAUUACCUACAGCGACACUUCUUUAAAUGGACUGUUCUGAGAACAGAUAGCCGGAUCUAAUCCGACUGUAACCUGUAGACAGUGUCCACUUCCACAGCUGGGAACGUCACGAGUCGGUUGGCACAGCUGAGCUCGUUCUAGUGCUGGUUGAAAUAAUCUCAUCCGAGCCUCAUUCACUCAUACUGGGGAGGCUUGUGGGGGCCAGAUUGAAGUGAUUUACGCAACAAUGUCUCGCCAGUGGUUGGCUGUUGCAGAUUUUGUUUAGUCUUAAUCUUUGGGCAGAUUAACCGACCGAACCAAUUGUGUGCCUACACGGGCCUAAUGUGUGUGGAGAACUUGUGAAAUCAAAACAGAGUCCCUGCGAACUUCAUCUAGACGAGAAUAUAUUGCUCUGGAGGAAGUAUAAUAAAUGUAUUUGCUCUUGAAUUAUUUUUUUUGUUCAUUUCUGAAUACCAUGAUGGUCAGUUAUGCACAUGACAGUGACUGACAGCCACCACAAUGCUCCACUGACUCUCCGUUUCAACCAUGGAGGACGCAGUGACCUCUGAAGAUGCUGAACCCCUGCCUGCCACCUCCCAAAACACUGACAUCCACCUCGGUGAGCCAGAGGAUGAGUGUCCUUCCAGCGCCAGCCUGGAGCCCAGCUCCCCGUCCUCGCCUUUCAAUCAGCAAGCUCAAGGCUCUGGCGUAUCGGCGCUGCAGUCCAAGGUCAAGGCUCUCUCUGAACGCAGAGUUGUCUGGAAAGAACCUGGAAGUAAGAACCAGGACAAACGAGUGGUUCCCGGGACCUUCAUACUGGGAUACGCCCUCACGGACGCUUGGGGCUCCAGCAGUAGCGAUGAAGACGGGGAACCUCGCAAGCCCCUGAUGUUCCUUGCAGGAGACCACAAGCCUCAGGUAGAAUUCGACUAUGAUCCCGUCUCUUCUGAAGCCUUGCUGGCAGUUCCACGCAGCCUUGGAGAAGGAGCAAGCCUGGAGAACCUCUCGAACGAUGCUUGCGGUUCUCAAGACGAUGCUUCUCCAUCUAAUAAACCAUGGAUGCCACCGAAGUGUUUCUGGAGGUCCAUCAGACCAGAGAUGCCGGUUCUAAAUGGGAAUGUUCCUGUGGGGAAAGAUGGACCAAAUGGAGGAACCUUUGGCCACAAAAUGGGCCACAAGUUUCCAAGGGAACUGCAAAGGUCUGAUAGCCUGGAGAGUCACCUACGCAGGUACAAUCAUGGUGAGGUGGGACAAUGUGGACUCUGGCGGGCUGACAGCUUGGAGAGCAUGUGCAGCAGUGGAAGCUCGCUGUCCCUGGCCGAGAGGGUCGAGAUGAACCGCGGCCUUCUCAAACAGAUGUUGCAGAAAACCCAGAAAAAAGACCAUGUACCAGGACAGAGAAUAGAGGACCCAACGCACAUUAGCGGUAGAGGUAUCUGUGGCCUGAAUGACAGUGAUUGGGAUUCUGGGAUUUCACUCCAAGGUAGUGAACACAGCCAAAGGUGGGCAGCACAGAUUGAUGCUCUCACAAUUAUCUCACACACACACAUACACACACACACACACACCAUGUAUAUUUAGCUUCUCACAGUGCUGAUUAGAGAUUUAUUAUUUUAGCUUUCAGGGACUCUCAAAAGUAGUGCUUAAUCAUAUUUAAAUGUUAAACAUACACAAAGUGGAACGUGAGCUCAAGAGAAAACAGCUGCUGAUGCUUUUCAUAAGCUAAGGAAUGAGAUCAUAUCAUUGGCUCUUCCUUCCUCUCCUUUAAACUCCACCUAAGAGUUGUAUAACAAAGGAAAUAGCUGAGCUAUUUUCUCCAAACCAAUAAAGAUGCCACAAAUUCUUAAAAAAAAAAAAAAAAACGGGUCACUGCCAGGAAAUUAGUGCCUGAACAUUUCAGGAACAUUAUUUAUUUAAAAAUCAGAUCACUGUUAUUAUGAGAAACUUAAGAAACUAUGUGGUCAAAAGACUUUGAAUGUGCU